UGGGCGUAAAGGGCUCGUAGGUGGUUGAUCGCGUCGGAAGUGUAAUCUUGGGGCUUAACCCUGAGCGUGCUUUCGAUACGGGUUGACUUGAGGAAGGUAGGGGAGAAUGGAAUUCCUGGUGGAGCGGUGGAAUGCGCAGAUAUCAGGAGGAACACCAGUGGCGAAGGCGGUUCUCUGGGCCUUUCCUGACGCUGAGGAGCGAAAGCGUGGGGAGCGAACAGGCUUAGAUACCCUGGUAGUCCACGCUGUAAACGGUGGGUACUAGGUGUGGGGUCCAUUCCACGGGUUCCGCGCCGUAGCUAACGCUUUAAGUACCCCGCCUGGGGAGUACGGCCGCAAGGCUAAAACUCAAAGGAAUUGACGGGGCCCCGCACAAGCGGCGGAGCAUGCGGAUUAAUUCGAUGCAACGCGUAGAACCUUACCUGGGUUUGACAUGGAUCGGGAGUGCUCAGAGAUGGGUGUGCCUCUUUUGGGGUCGGUUCACAGGUGGUGCAUGGCUGUCGUCAGCUCGUGUCGUGAGAUGUUGGGUUAAGUCCCGCAACGAGCGCAACCCUUGUUCACUGUUGCCAGCACGUUAUGGUGGGGACUCAGUGGAGACCGCCGGGGUCAACUCGGAGGAAGGUGGGGAUGACGUCAAGUCAUCAUGCCCCUUAUGUCCAGGGCUUCACGCAUGCUACAAUGGCUGGUACAGAGAGUGGCGAGCCUGUGAGGGUGAGCGAAUCUCGGAAAGCCGGUCUCAGUUCGGAUUGGGGUCUGCAACUCGACCUCAUGAAGUCGGAGUCGCUAGU
rnacentral:rRNA from 1 species